AUCUUUGCGCUUGGGGCAAUGACGCAGCUAGUGAGGUUAUACCGAGGCGCAUCAAUUGCUGGUUAAAAACUAUUUCCAAACCCCCUCUUUGGCCCUUCGAGGACACUGAGAAUUCCUGGAAGGGAUACCUCUCC
rfam:Triticum aestivum genome assembly, contig: Triticum_aestivum_CS42_TGACv1_scaffold_578536_7BL